rnacentral:rRNA from 1 species
CCCCUAGAUGUUCUGGGCCGCACGCGCGCUACACUGAACAGUUCAACAAGUCUUAACCUUGGCCGAUAGGUCUGGGUAAUCUUUGAACGCUGUUCGUGAUUGGGAUAGACCUUUGCAAUUAUGGGUCUUCAACGAGGAAUUCCUAGUAAACGCAAGUCAUCAGCUUGCAUUGAUUACGUCCCUGCCCUUUGUACACACCGCCCGUCGCACCUACCGAUUGAGUGAUCCGGUGAAUAAUUCGGACUGCAGCAGUGUUCAGUUCCUGAACGUUGCAGUGGAAAGUUUAGUGAACCUUAUCACUUAGAGGAAGGAGAAGUCGUAACA